AAGGAACAGUCAAUUCAAGUGCCUAUAAGGAUCAGAAGGCUCUGAUUUUCUCCAGCCAAGGAAGACUACGAAUCAUCCUUUUAACAAGGUGUUUACAGGCAAUAGAUGACAAUGUAGAGAAUGUUUAGCCCCUGGAGUUGCCUCGGUACAAGGAGACAGUUGAAUAGAAGAGUGGUUGGUAGAGCAUAUUUUUAAUAUGCGAAAGCUCAAACACUGACACUUGGGACCAGGGAGGAUUGCUGUAGUCAUCAUACACAUUAAUCACAACCAGAAAAGUUACGCCAUACUAACCAAUGACCCCAAUAUUUCAGUAGCUUCAUAUAAGAAGUCUUAUUUCUUGUUUAUGCUACAUGUCCGGCAUAGGAGCUUAGAGUUUUGUAGCUUUGACAUCCGAAAUGUGUGGCUUCCUGCCAUUAUGCUUCAGCAUAAAUAUAACACUUAUUACUCUCACUUACAAUUCAUUGGCCAAAACUAGCUAUGAGUGUUGAUACAGUCAUAGGGAAGGCUGGAACAUGAAACCUUUCUAUGUUCCCAGGAAGAUAAAAGUGGAAUGGAAUUUGGUGAACACAACACAUUGUCUUAGUCUAAGAAUGAGAUAUUGAGACUGCCUGAAGAGGCAAGAGACCUUCAAAUUGAGAUAUAUCACAUACUUCGAUAACGAAGGAAUAGAAGGACUUUGCUGCCAACACCCCACCUCAGCUUGCCCAAGUAUCAAGUCAGGUAGUCAUGAAAAAACAGUAUACAGGAAAGAGUAGACCUUGUCCGCAAAUGUUCCCCAAAGAAAAGUUGUUGAAGGAAUGCAAAAUAAUUACAACUUCUUGUUAAGAGGAAGCCUUCUUAAAAAUUGGCGAAUUUCUGUAUUUGGUUAAUUUCCAUUCAGUGGCUUUAGUUAGUUCUCUAAGAAUGUGAUGCUCAAAUUAUCUUCCAAUGAGCCAUUUCAUUUUUGAAUAUCCAGGGAGCCUUAGAACUGAAGACAUUUAGAACACAGUAGAGCAUGUAACACGGUCAUUAGAAAGCAUCAUUUGAUCCACUUAUCUGAAGAGCUAAAUAGGGAAUUCAAACUGAACACGCUAAAGCUCAGAUGAAGGAAGAGACAAAUGCUAGUGUGGAUAUUGUGAAGUCUGCUGCUAUCUAUGCAUCUGCUUUCUCUAUGGUUUGAAUUCUGUGCUUGUAUUAAAGAUUUGAUUUUUUAUAUGA
rnacentral:lncRNA from 1 species